AUUCCUACACAUAUUUAAUCCCUCAAUGUUAUAUUUAUGGAAGGAUCAGAGUGGACAGUCCCCCCAGGUAUAAAGGUAUAGCUCAAAACCAUAUGAUUUACUAUAUAAAGGAACACUCUCCAACCACCAUAACAACAUCAUCACAAUAAAGUUGUUAUUGGGGCUGGAGUAUAGGCACCACCUCAGCUUCAGUGGACAAAACCCGUUUUACA